rnacentral:rRNA from 1 species
GGGACGAAAGUCUGAUGGAGCAAUACCAUGUGAACGAUGAAGUGCCUUUUUGGUUGUAAUAGUUCUUUUACGAGGGAUAAUUAUGAUAGUACUUCGUGAAUAAGUGACAGCAAACUAUGUGCCAGCAGCUGCGGUAAUACAUAGGUCGCAAGCAUUAUUCGGAUUUAUUGGGCGUAAAGCAAGCGCAGGCGGAUGUGUAAGUUCUGUGUUAAAUGCAGCUACUCAAUAGUUGUAUGCACCGAAUACUACAUGUCUAGAUUGUGGUAGGGAGUUUCGGAAUUAAGCAUGGAGCGGUGGAAUGUGUAGAUAUGCUUAAGAACACCAGAGGCGAAGGCGGAAACUUAGGCCAUAAAUGACGCUUAGGCUUGAAAGUGUGGGGAGCAAAUGGGAUUAGAUACCCCAGUAGUCCACACCGUAAACGAUGGGUAUUAGAUAUUAGGGCUUUAGCUUUAGUGUUGUAGCUUACGCGUUAAAUACCCCGCCUGGGUAGUACAUAUGCAAAUAUGAAACUCAAAGGAAUUGACGGGGACCUGAACAAGU